UACAGAGGUCUCGAGCGUUAGGCGGAAUCACUGGGCUUAAAGCGUGUGUAGGCGGACCGUUAAGUACCUUGUGAAAUCCCCCGGCUCAACCGGGGAACGGCUGGGUAUACUGGCGGUCUUGAGCCAUCCAGGGGCAGUCGGAACAGACGGUGGAGCGGUGAAAUGCGUAGAUAUCGUCUGGAACGCCGAAGGUGAAAACAGACUGCUGGGGAUGCGCUGACGCUGAGACACGAAAGCCAGGGGAGCGAACGGG
rnacentral:rRNA from 1 species